rnacentral:lncRNA from 1 species
AUGCCUGAACCCUAGAGCCACCCUCACUCCGCCGCCCGCCGCCAUCCGUCGUCGGUCGAAUAUAGCCCACUGCGGAGGCGGAAUUUCAAUUGCCGUCAAAUUUACACUAUUGAUUCCCCUCCCUUCCCUCUACCCAAAUACACCCUCAUCACCCCUCAAAUCCUACCAAAACCUCUCGAAUAUAACUUUGAAACACUGACUCCGCCGCUGUGUCCGGCGGCGCCACCACACAACCACUCCCAAAUUCACACCCUUGAACCCAUGUCUCUCCAUCAUCCCAAAUCUGCACUCAUUAUCCUUUAAACCCCCAUGAUUACUCUCGAAUAUUGAUUCAAAAAGGGACUGCCAAAACUCACCACCACUAACCAACCCCAAACAAACACCCUAUAACCUUCUUAAACCCCCCCCCCCAAUCCGUACUCAACCGCACUCAAACAUAUCUACAUCUGCUCAAAACCCAAAUCUAGGGUUUUCCAGAAGUUUUCCAAUA